UGGACGAAAACGCUCCAGCCCUGAAAGUGUUCGAUGCAGUACCCGCCGGAGGAAGCCGAGGAAGGGGAAGGCCUCCACUCCGUUGGAGGGACCAGGUGGAGAGCGACCUGUUUACACUUGGGAUCUCCAACUGGCGCCGAACUGCGAAGGAGAGAGAGAGGUGGCGCACUAUCGUCGAUUCGGCUAUAACCGGCUAAACGGUUGCAACGCCAAUCACAUACAUACAAUGCGCAAGCAUUCAAUCCUACAUAUGCGUACACAUGUGAAUAUGUCACCAACCAAAAAUUUAAAUAUGCACCAGAUUGUGAAUUGCCCUACUGUACUUAUUGACUGCAUUAUUAUAUAUAAUUAUUUGUAUAAAACCUUGAAAUUUAUUCAUUAAAAUUACCACUCAGAAGUGGUUUUAUCCGUUGUAACCGAGCUAUCAUCGAAGAAACAUCAUUUAUAAAAUGCCACAAGACAAAAUUAGAAAUGAAGUUCAUAAACUUCACGCUGUCAGAUAAAACGAUAUACCUCCUCAUCGCGGGUGCUAAUACUUUCGAUUUGCAAAGAAAAUAAAUGAAGACUGACUACAUAAAUGAUCUUGUUAAGUAUAGUUUUAACGUUUCUAAGGCCAACGCAGAGUAUUUCAACCUAAAGUCACACAAAAUAGUUGAGAAUUCGCAGAAAUGAAACAGAAACGAAAGAAAAAUAAUGCGCAAGCAUACAAUCAUACAUAUACGUACACAUGUGAAUAUGUCAUCAACCAAAAAUUUAAACAUUGUUCUACAAAAACAAGAAUUGCUCAAAUAGCAUAAGCAUGGCAAGUGCUUUAAGUUCUCUGCUUUACUCUCAUUCACUCUCUCUCUCUCUCUCGCGGCAAUUGCUCAACGCUAUUCCCUCUCCACUGAAGCGUUAAACAAUUAUCGCAACCUUUUCCGAAGUCGUAUAAGAAGUAUAACUUCAAUAAUAGAUAGAGAUGAUAUUUCUUAUAUAAAUUUAGAUGAAGCUCUUGAAUUUUCUGAAAUAAAAAUUUCAACUAAUGGACAAAUUAUAAUUUACAUUGUAAGCCUUCCAACAGUAGAUAAACAAAUGUGUAAAACAAUGGAUAUAAGAGCUGUAAAAAAUAAUGGACAAAUUACUAACAUCAAUGUUCAAUCCUUAAUUGUGAAGAAACAAAAUACAGAAUGAAAAAUCCUUGUAAAAAAUAUAACUUUUUACUAAUAUGUUUAUGUAAUGAUUUAUGUAAAAAUAAUGUAAUAAUAAAUGUGGUCAACAAUCAACAUAUUCCAACUUUGGAGGAAAUGGGACAAGGAAUAUACAUUCGCUCCAAACAAAAUUGAAGAAAUUCUCUCUCUAGACAUGAUAAAACAACUAAACGUAAACAAUACAAAAGAAGUAAAUCUGAUAGAAACAGUAAAUAGAAUAAAGCACGCAACCAUCAUCAGCCUAAUUACUAUUCUAAUAGUGAUGACCUUCAUUUUUGGAAAAUACAUUAUACAAAAACCAGCAGAAGUUCGAUCCAUAAAAUUAUCACAACCCGCAAUCAAUGGACUCAACCAAAUUUUCGAAAAACCCAAAUAUUAAAAAGAGGACGUUUGAAUUUCAGGGUGGGAUUAAUUAACACAUUGCAUAUUUAAAUAUCACAUAUCGCUUGCUUAUAUCAUAUAACAUGAAGCAACGUGAUAUGACACCGCCAAACCGACGAAUUAGCAACACGUGCAGUGCAAUUCGUGGAAAGCGCCAAGUCAGAUUAUAAACAACACGCAGUGGCAAACAAUUAGGUUUAUAGUUAGGUAAAUAUGAUUGUAAAUUUUAGUUCUAAAUUGGAAUUCAAUAAAACAAGGGCACAGCUCUGACAAAAAAAAUUAUUAUUUGUACUUUUUUGUAAAAGUUCAUACAUAUGUGGCAUGCUUUUAAGCGCAUCUUUUGACUGAGUUGCUCACUUAUUUGAUCGCCUUCCUGCAGUGCAGUAUCACUUGAAAAAGUUACAAACAAAGAAACAUACAUACAAGUGAAGCUAAUAAAAGCGUAUUAAACAAAUAGUUUUGGAACCUCUGAAACCCACCUAAUACCUUAAAUAGGACCGUUAUAUUAUAAGUGAGGGUAUCAAAAAGACUAGGUGAUGGAGAAUCUUAAUCUGAAACUGAAAAACGUCUUGCGAGUCAUUCUCUUCACAUCGCAAUCGCAUGCCAGAGAGUCGAGUAACGAGCGCUCACAGCUGCUUGCUGAACAAAAUUACGAAACUGAUAGCAAAACGAAAAAUGUAUAUGUAAGAGCCCUUUCACACAGGCAAUUCCUGUUGCGGUAAUUCUUAGUUUUAUAGGAGAGGGGCGACGAGGAGAGGAGAAUCGCACCGAGUCUGCUGUGUUCGGGCAACACGCUUUGUGUUCUUAUUCGUAACAGUUCGCUGCUACGUAACAGUGUUGCAUUUGCGCACAUUUUAAAAUUAAUAUAUACAAUAUAUUUGAAAAUUUGACUUUAAUCAUUUAAUUUUGUAUGUAAUUUGCAAAUACAUAUAGAAAUAUGCAUAAUAUAAUUAAAAUAUAUUAGAAAAUGGAGAAUAACGAUAAAAAUUAGUUAAUGAAAUAUAUAUUUUUUUUUUGAAACGAUGCUUACAAGAAGUUGAGAAAAUUAUAUGAAAGAGAAUGAGAGAAAGACACGAACAGAGUUGUCGAAAAUAAUUGCUCGUGUGAACGCAAUGGGCGACAGCAAAAGAGAAUCGCCCGAGAAUUAGCAACAGGAGUUGCCUGUGUGAAAGUGGUCUAAGUAAAAAUAUUUUCAUUUCAUUUGAUAGAAAUUAAAAAAAAAACGCAACUGACAAAAAAAAUAAAUGUUGUCUAUGGUUGAAUAUUUGAAGAUUUAAAAUUUUGAAUUUAUUACGUUUAUAAUAAUUCCAAUUGGAUAUUUUAACAUAUCUAACAGAAACUGUGCCUCAUAUAAUGCUCAUGUGUAGAGUGGAAAAGCCUAUUGUUUACGUUUUUUCGAUCUAAAAGUUUUCAUUACAAAAUUCAGUGACAGCGUAAGAAGUGUUUAAAAGUUAGUAAAAAAUUUAUAUCGCAAUGAUCGAAUCUGUUUUUCUUUUAGUAGAAUGCGUUUAUGUUUAGUGCAUUUUUAACAAGUUUUUUUUCGCUCUUCGGGAAAUGUAAUACUUAUAUAAAAAGUGAUAGGAUAUAACAUAAACGGGAACGUGAAUGUGAUCUCCAGGAAUUAUAUUUAGAAGUUCAAAUGAAUGUACCCAUGUUGAAUACGCAACUAAAAUAAGUUUAUGAUACACUAAUGAGGGCAAUUGGUAAAGGAAAUAGUGAUUUAUAUUUCCUGAAUGUUCCUGGUAGAACUGACAAGACAUUAGUUUUAGCCACUGUUUGUGUAAGACCCAAUAUUGUGGUUGCAGUUGCUUCUUCUCGAAUAGCUGUCACAUUGUUAGAAGGAUUGCGUACUGCUCAUUCAAUAUUAAAAUUACGGUUAAAUUUUAAAAGUGUUGAAGAAUCAACAUGUAAUAUAGCAAAACACUCCGCGAUGGUCCAAGUUUUAUCUUCAGCUAACAACGUACAUGAGAGUUGAACGUUACUGAACGAUACAUUUAUGAUAUCGUGACAGAUAUCUUCAUCUCUGGCCAAUUGCUGACAAUUGGUAAAAGUCGAGUACCUUUCGACGAAUCGAGCGGAUUUCGAAUUUCUGUAACUUUGUCUUAGCGAAAAAUGAACUCAUCAAAAAGGUAUCCUCAAUAACAAAAAUAGUGAAUGGUUGGGUGGGCGAGCAAUUUUGGCGGCUAAAAAUAAAGCUAUAAUUGACAUAAACUACCAAUGAUCUCACACAGUGCCUAGCUGCUAAGAAACCACAAGUUUAGCGGUCUGUUUCAAAAGCUGACAAAAAUAAACCAUUGCUGUCUGUGCCUGGAUUAUUCAAGAUUGUCUCCCAUUUGCAUACGUGGAAGGCGCUGGUUUCAAAGGUAUGAUAAAGUUUUUCAUCAAUAUUGGUGCAACGUACGGUGAAAAUAUUGACAUCUAAAACUUGCUUACAAUUUCUCGUAUAACGCACAAAGAUGCAGAAGAUAAAAGAGCUUUAGUUCGCAAAGAUAUUAAGGAGAAAGUUUCAAGUGAUGGCUGCCGCAGUUGAUAUGUGGACAAUUGUGUUCAACGGAACUUUAUAGGUGAAACUUUACAUUAUCAAAAAGAUUUUAAAUCUGUGACAUUAUUUUAGGAAUAAAAUCAAUGGAUUUUCAGCGGCCAAUUCUUUAAUAUAUAUGAAAAGUUAAAAGUAUUGUUUAAACAGUUUGAUAUAUGUAAUAUUGAACAAAUUAUAUUUGUAACAGAGCAAAUAUAAAUAUAGUGAAAGCACUAGAAAAUAAAACUCGUUUAAAUUGUAAUGCACAUUUAUUAUCGAAUGUUUUAGGAAAUCUUUUGAUGAAACAAUCGAACUGCCCGAAUUACUAAUUUCAUGUAAGAAAAUUUUAAAAUAAAAAAGCAAACUUACAGAACAAAUUGCCCACAUCAAUAAAAAAUCCUUGCCCAACACGCUGGGAUUCGAAUUAUACUAUGUGUAAAUCUAUUGUUGACAAUUGGUAUGACGUGAACCAAGCUCUUGCAGAAAGUGGAGAGAACCACCGGCUAUGCGAUAUUAAUAUUUCAUUACUUAGAUCUUUAGUUGAUCUUUGUAAGGAUUUCGAAACAGUUUUUAAGGAAAUGCGAUCCAAAAAUACUACCAUUACUUAUCUAAACUUGCUUUACAAAUUCUUUCCGUACCUGCAAUUCUGUGCUUCGACUGAAACAGCCUUUUCUUUGGCAGGUAAUAUUACGACUGAUAAGCGGAACCAAUUAGGGCCAAAACCAUUAAACAGAUUUCUACAUUCGUUUUAUAAAAUUUUAGAUUAUAAAUUUAUAUUUUCUUUUUGAAUAAAAUCAUUCAUGCAUACUAUGUACAAGCGUAGAUAUAUUAGUUUGGUCCUUCCGCUUUUUUGCACUUUAUUCAAUGCUAUAUAAAAAGUGUUACAGUGAUCGGAUUUAGUUCUAUGUAAUAUGCGCCGCCGUUCGAUAAUAUGUCUCCCUCUAGACGGCAACUUCAUAAUACACACCUCGUAGAACACCCCUUUUAUUUGCGAAGAACUUUAUACCACUAAGGGCGUUCGCCAUGGACAGAAACAGGAGGUAAUUACUUGGCGCUAUGUCCGGGUUAUAUGGAAGAUGCGAUAAAACCUCCCAUCCGAGCUCCCGUAGCUUCUGACGAGUCAUGUUGGCCAAUUCUGGCCGAUCGUGUCGUUUUCACUCGCUCCAUGUUUACACGUCUAUAACUGUUGAACGCAAUAUCCAAAACUAAUCAUACAUCGCGUCGUUUUGUAGGUUAUGUCAAGACCUUUCAAAUAUUUAUAUUAUUGCCAUAUACGAGCUCUGUAGCGCUUUAUACAUAGCCUCGAAAUUCAAAAUACAAAAAGGCGGAAGGGAGAUAUUUGCCAACCUAAUAUAAGCAAAAAAUUCAAUACUUUAUAAGAUAAUUUUCUACAUUAUUUCAAAGUUUAAUAUUGGAAAUGUGUAGAUAUACAGUACUUUUAGUUUAAUUGACCCUAUGGUUAAUUGGUUCCCCGUUUAAUUUAACGGUGUUAUUGGGAAAAAAUAUAGCACAUGUAAAUUUUCUCGGAUAAUUGGACUCGGUUAAUAGAUUUUCCCGCUUAGUUGGUUCAAAAUAUGUCAUCAAAAAUCUUUUUCCUUUUAAAUUUCCCCAGAAAUCUAAUCAACACUGUACAAAUUUUUUAUAAUAAAUUUGAAUAACAAAUAUACAUGUAUAAUAUUAGGACUACAACUUUGCUUCCGCCGUUUUUUUUGUAAAUUUAAGGAUUUUUUUCACUUAGGACAGCCUCACCGUACGUAUCCGAAAGCAUUCGAUGAGCCUCAGCCGCACUUUUCUUUUCUAUAACUCGAAGAUCUCCAUAACUCAACACUUGAAUUGGCAAUAGCGUUUAGAAGUCAAAUUUCAUACAAAUUACCUUCCCUAACUCGAAUUUCUAUAACUCGAAGUUCUCCAUAACUCGAACUCUUGAAGAGGCAAUAGAGUGCAACUUUCAUACAAAUUUCCUUCCAUAAAUCGAACUUUUUGGUCAGGACAUUAUACAAAAUUUAAAAUUUCACGAGUUAGAGAAGUUCCACUGUAUUUCAUAUACAUAUUUAUAUACAUACAUAUAUAAACAGUAUAUGUAUAUUAUAUUUACAAAUUCCGAAAGCUUAGCCGUUGGUACCUCAUCUUCCAUGAAGUGUCCAAAAAAAGUUCUUGCCGUAUACAUCAUAACUCAUUAUUGGUUCAUCCAAAUCAACAAACCAGAAAUAUUUGUUGCUAGCUAAUGAACGAAGGAAAAAAUAAAAGAUUAAAAACUGAAUUCUUGAUAGAUUUUGAACAAAAAAACUAACUUUUGUGGUCAAAUUUUCGCCAUAUACUGACUCGAAAAAGAGUUGUAAUAAAGAUGUGUGGACAUUUUUAUACUCUAGCAACAAAAUUUGCUAAGAGAGUAUUAUAGUUUUGUUCACAUAACGGUUGUUUGUAAGUCAUAAAACUAAAUAGAUAUAAGGUUAUAUAUACCAAAAUGAUCAGGGUGACGAGACGAGUCAAAAUCCGAAUGUCUGUCUGUCCGUCCGUCCGUCUGUCCGUCCGUGCAACGGAUAACCUGGGUAAAAAUUGAGAUAACUUGGAACACAUGUUCCUUGGGACCGUGAGGGGGUUGCUUUCGAAAAUGGGCAAAAUCGGACCACUGCCACGCCCACAAAAUGGCGAAAACCGAAAACUCAAUAAUAUUAAAAAAGUAAAAUUUGAAACAAAGGAUCGCACUAGGAAGGGGCAUAUUUGGAUGUAAUUUUUUUGGGAAAGUGGGCGUGGCCCGCCCCCAAAUCGGUUAUUUGUAUAUAUCUCGCAAACUAAUAAAGCUAUAUUAACCAAACUUUCUGCAGUCGGUUCUCUUACGUACCCCCCACACACCAUACAAAGGUUAGGUUGAAAAUUACUAAUAAUAUUAUUUAUACAAUAUAUAUGUAGGUCAAAUAGUGUAUAAUAUAAUACUAAUAAUUAAAUUGCAAGAGUAGAAAAUGUUCGGUUACAUCCGAACUAAGCCCUUCCUUAUUUGUUCAACAGAAUUUUAAUCAUAUCGAUUUUAAAAUUUUAGAUAAUAUUGUACUAUCGGCUUGAAGAACAAAAUAUUAGAAAUAUACAAGCUCGCUCUAGGCCGUCGAACUCUGAGCCUUCCCAACGCCUUCAUAAUCAGAGAGAAAGACAACGGACACAAAAGACUAGAGGUCGUAAUCAAGUUUUAGCUCAUUGCAAAUAAUAUAUAAUUCAUGUUCGAAUUUUAGUCAUUUUUUUAAAUGAACCCACCCAAGAAACGGCAAAGUACAUACAUAUGUAUGGGAGAGUGUGUAUAAGUGUGUAAAAACUUAUACCUUUUGAAAUGCUAGUUUUCUAUAUAAUUUCUAAAUUUAAUAUUGAAUAAAUAUUUUUAUUUCUGUUUUAUAAACAUUUUUCGGUUUCAAUUUGCCAUUACUAUAAGUGUUGUAUAUACAUACUAGGGCUCUUAAAAUUAUUCGAUUAACCUGAAAACCGAUUAUUCGAAUAUCAGGUUUGUAACCGUUCGUAAAUUCGAUUAGUGGCAAUGUUACGACUAUUUCAAUAGUCGUUCUACUGCUGUUAUUUGAAUAGUUAUACUAUCACUAUUCGAAUAAAUGAAAAUUGUUUGAAAUACAAACAGCCUUUGAUUUUUUAAAGUUUCCGCAUUCCAGUCACUUUAUCAGAAUCAGAGAGGAUGUUCUCCAUUGCUGGAAACAUUGUGACACUACGUAGAAGGUGCUUGCAACUAACAAAUGUUAAUCUUUUAACUUUCUUAUAUCAAUAGACGUUUUAUUUAAAAUACUGAUUUAAUACAUUCGCCCAGUUGAAAUGGUUAAAAACUAGUUUGUCAUUACUUAAUGGUUCCCGUGAAAUCAUUGUUAUUUUUUUUAUUUUAAAGCAAGUUUUUUUGUUAGUUUUAAUGAUUAACUUUUUUCAAUAAAAAUAAGAUUAAUUAAUGAACUUGCACUAUUCGAAUAGUCGACAACGAACGGUUAACCGAAUAGUCGAAAAUGAGCGGUUAAUCGAAAAGUCAAUGAUUGACGACUAUCCGAAUAGCGCAAACCGAAUAUUGUUAUUCGAAUAAUGCCCUAUUCGGUUAGCCGGUUAGUCAAAUACCAAGAGCUCUAAUACAUACAUAUUAUAUUAAAUUACAUAUUCGCCUGCUCAUGAGUAAUACACAUACAAAACACUCAAAACGAUCGCGCAAAGAGGAACAAAUUAUGUAAUAUGUACUAAAUACUCAGAGAGUUGCUACAAUUUGAGUAUGUCAUAUACUCAAAUCGCCUUUUCUGUGUUGUCGCUCAGCUUAUGUAAUAACAUGAAUAAGCAGAAGAGUGUUAAGUGUUUUACAACCGCUAUGAGCUUAUUGGGAAAAUUCUGUGAGUGUUAAAACUACCUCGACAUGUUUGGCUGAGUGUUUUUGAUACAUAAGUAUGAAAAGUAUGAGAGUAAGCACACGGUGUUUUUUGAAGGGCGUUGCACUUCUGCAGGUUUCUGGUAUAUUACAUUGAAGAUCUUAAAAUUAUUCGAACAACCCGAAAAUCGAUCAUUAAAAAUCGUUAGUAUGAAUAUUAACCGUCGCAAUGUUACGACUAUUCGAAUAGUCGUUCUACUACGAUUAUUCGAAUAGUUAUUCUGCUGCGACUAUUCGAAUAGUUGCUCUGCUGCGAGUAUUUGAAUAAAUAAAAAUAUAAAUUUAAUGAACUUCCACUAUUCGAAUAGUCGAAAACGAACGGUUAACCCGAUAGUCGGAAAUGAGCGGUUAAUCGAAUAGUCGAUAAAUUACGACUAUCCGGAUACUGCAAACCGAAUAUUAUUAUUCGAUUAAUGCCCUAUCUGGAUCAUUUGGUUAGUCGAUUGGUCAAAUACCAAGAGUUAUACAUACAUGGUUUAAAAUGUGUAAAACAAAAUUUGCUACCAUUCAAUAUAGUGGUAACACCUUUAAUAGGUAUCAGCAUAGCCUUAUGUGUCGAAUUCAAACGACAACUCUAUUGGUAACAUCGAUAUUGUGAUAAUUUUUCGUUGCGCGACAAUCAAAAAUAUUAUACAGAUUUUACUAUGAGUAUGUACUUACUGUUCUUGAGUUUGAAUAACCAGAAAUCCAGUAGACAACGGCUCUGCUUCCUUAGAUAAAACGUCAUAAUCACAUUCGUCUUCGUACCAAUUUGGGGAUUCUAAUAACAUCGUAAUAUCUAAUUCUUGUAGUUCUCUUGGACUUGCUAGAGAAAUCAUCCCAGACGAAUUGUUAUUUAAGCAAAAUGAUAAUAAAGCUUCAUGGUCCUUAUGUAUUACUCUUAUAUGCUCAGAUUCGUCACUU